rnacentral:rRNA from 1 species
AAUGAACGCUGGCGGCAGGCCUAACACAUGCAAGUCGAACGGGUCCUUCGGGACUAGUGGCGGACGGGGGAGUAACGCGUGGGAACUUACCCAAAGGUACGGAAUAGCCUCGGGAAACUGGGAGUAAUACCGUAUGUGGUCGAGAGACGAAAGAUUUAUCGCCUUUGGAUUGGCCCGCGUUGGAUUAGGUAGGUGGUGGGGUAAUGGCCUACCAAGCCGACGAUCCAUAGCUGGUUUGCGAGGAUGAUCAGCCACACUGGGACUGAGACACGGCCCAGACUCCUACGGGAGGCAGCAGUGGGGAAUCUUAGACAAUGGGGGAAACCCUGAUCUAGCCAUGCCGCGUGAUCGAUGAAGGCCUUAGGGUUGUAAAGAUCUUUCAGAUGGGAAGAUAAUGACGGUACCAUCAGAAGAAGCCCCGGCUAACUCCGUGCCAGCCGCCGCAGUAA